UGCUUGCACCACGUAGUAGACGUUUCUUCUCUGACGUACACUCGCGCACACAAGCACGCUCAGAAAACGGCGCCCAGAAAACGGAGGAAAAGCGAAAAGUUGGCAAGUGCACGUGGUACACACGCACACAGCCAGCAAAGGAAGCAGGUGAUUGCCAAUACGUCUGCCUCUCUCGUCAAGGUUGUGGCGGUGUGGCGGUUCCGCAGCCCUCCCUCUGCACGCGUGGCGGGUCUGUUAGGCAAACGCGAGGACGAAGACGCAAGUGAGACACCCUCGCACGGGAAAAUAAAACAGACGGUGCAGCGUUCAUCUCGUUUUGCGUCGUGCUUGAGCUCUUCUCUAAAGCAGUCCACCCCCACGCAUUCCUGUCUCUCUCAGCCCACGCCCCAGCAGAAAUGCUUCGCGCUAUACCGCUUGUCUGCGUAGCGGCGGUGCUGCUGACAUGCCUGCCAGUGGCCGCUAUCCACGAGGAUGAGCAAGGUCUGCGUGACUGGAUAAUGCAUCUCGUCGGGAACGUGCAGGAUAGUGCCGCGCAGGUGGCGACAAAUCCACAACUGCUCUACGUCGCUUCCGAGGACGGCGCCGUGGCUGCGAUCGCCGUCGGCGCCUAUGGUGGCUUGAACCUGACGUGGCGUCAGAUAUCCUCUGCGACGCCUUUGUGCGUCGCUGCUGGCCCGCAGGCGGUGCUGACAGUGAACAAUGCCGGUGUGGCUACCUUGAUGAGCCCUACAACGGGAUCCAUCGAGGUGACGUACGCACUUCAGACAGUAACCACGACUCUACAGGCGGCCGCGUGCUCGGUGGUCAGCGGGAAGGCUGUCGUGGUCACCUACGACGGCGCCACGCUGAAGCGCUUCGAGUUUUCGACGGCCUCGGAAGAGCAAUCCAUCCCGGUCGCCGCGUAUGCAAGCGCGUCUGUUGAGGUGUCCAAGAUGUACGUCGCCGGCUCCGUGCUUCUCGUGAACCACGGAAGCGACUCUGCCGACGUUCUCCGCCUUGACAACCUCGCCAAAGAGCGCAGCGUGGCCGGCAUGGCCACGAGCAUCGCCGCUGACGGUCACUUCACCACCCGCGACGCGGCCACCGUCCGCUCUUUUCCUACUAACGGCGCCGCAAGUGAGGUGGCGUGCUCUGACUGUGGCAUCGCCGUCGUGAGGAACGCGCACACCGGCGAGCCCACUGGCGUCGUCCGUGUGGAGACGCAGGUGGACAUGCUGCGCAUCACGUACCCGAACUCGGUCGUGACGAUUCCUAACAUCUGCAGCAGCAUCACCGCCUACCCUCUCCUGGCAUUCGAGAAGGACGACGGCGACGUUAUCGUGCUGAUCAAGACCGGCGCGCACAACCUUCUUCUCGUGAGCGCGGCGGAGGGACUCGUGUGGCGCCGCUUUGAGGCGCUCGCGAACGUGGCUGCCGCCGCGAUUGUGGAGCCGAUGGAGGCGCUGGACCACUUCCAUUUCAACAAGAACAUCUUGCUGGUCUCCCGCUUCGGCACGCUCUACUCGAUUCCCAUCGCGGGCAUGGGUGCGCAGGUGGACUACAUCAAGGACUUUUCGCAGGAGCUGGCGGCGGCCAUGAAGGCCCCAUCGAUGGCCAAGGUGCAGGUGCGGGAGCUGGCCGUGCGAGACGACGGCCGCACCGCCGUGGUGCACGCGGAGUCCGGCGCGACGAGUGGCCACAUCUUGAUCGACCUGGCGGAGCGCAUGGUCACUAGUGUGACGACCUGCGAGAACGCCGUUCUUUCAACCCCCGAGCUGGAGGUGGCGGCUGACCUCUCUGUCAGGGGCUCGCUUUCGCACGGUGUCUUCUACACAUAUGCCAGCCACGCCGAGUCCGGCACAAUCGAGGGAUACAGCGUCAGCGCGGCGGCGGGUGCGCGCCCUACGUGGGUGGUGCAGAUGCCCUCGGCCAUUGUGGCGCACGCCGCCGGCAGUGAGCCGCGCCGGACAGAUGUUGUGAACAAUUUGCGCGUGUACCCGAACAUCUCGGGCAGGGAGAUGGUUGAGGAGGUGCGCCGCACCUACCCAAUGCGCAACGUCAUCGCCGUGGCGCAUUAUGAGCCGUCCGAGGAGGAGCUGCCGUCGCUGGUGAUCACCGCGAUCGAUGUGGUGACGGGCAGCAUCUUGGCGACGACACGUCAUGCGAACGUGGAGGGGGACGUGAAGAUGGUUAUUGUGGAGCACGCCAUUGUCUACUACUAUCUCGACGCCAAGAAAAUGCGCUACUGCUUCGGCGUGUGGGAGCUGUUUGAGGAUGAGAACAGCCCGGUGGUGUUCAAGACAGCCGGCGCCACGAUUCCGCAGAUUAUCGCCUCCUUCUUCGUCAACACGAAGCGCGAGUUCAGCUCCCGUGCAACGCGCCCGCCGAUCGUGGUGGUGUCGACUCUCGGCUCCUUUGGCGGCCCGCUCGCUGAUAUGGGCGUCACCACCUCCUACAACGCCAUCGCCCGAAAAAGCCUUGUGCUGGCGUACGCGACGGGCCGUGUGGUGGUGGUGGAGCUGCGACACCUACUCGCCGGUAACCAGAUGCCCCUGCCAGGUGCGAAGGACCGCCAAAUGUCGCACCUUCUGCUCCCCAGCUUCUUGUUCGCGUCGCACAAGUACCGCGUUGCCUUUCCGCGCAAGAUCACGACGGAACCGACGCUGCUGGAGAGCUCUUGUCACGUGGUGGUGUCGGGCCUCGACCUCUUUUACGUGCGCUCGUCGUCCGGCAAGCCGUUCGAUCUGCUCAAUAGUGACUUCAACAAGCCGCUGCUUAUCACACUCGUGUGCGGCUUUGCUGUGCUGUCCGUGAUGGCGCGCUACUUUGUUAAUCGCAAGGCCCUCAAUUCGGCGUGGCAGUAGGCGCGUUUUCGAUUCGCGCGCGGCUAAGCACGGAAGUGGUGUUGCGGCGCGAACAAGGCACAGAGAGUUGUUGUUUCGUUUUUGUUGUCGUUGUUGUUCUGUUUUUCUGAGCUGUAGCGUGUGCAACGUUCGUGCUCGUGCCGCAGUUGUCCACGCCCGGGCCCCUCUGUCUGUCUCGGAUGGUGUCUCGAUGUGCCCUUUGUUUGUUCGCUUAUUUUUGCUUUAAACUCCUUCUGAAUGGCGGCUGCAACCGCCCCUCCACCCCCCCCCCCGCUUACACACACACGCGCGCCGAAAACGUUUGACCAAAGAAAAUGGAGUAGAUGAUGCGCGGCUGCUGCUCUUGUCAGCUCACCUUCCCGCGCUUCCUCUUGCAGUCUCUACCGAGGGUGUGGUUGUGUGUGUGUGUGUGUGUGUAUGUGGGUGUGUGGGGGUGUGUAUAUCUGUGUAUGCCAUUAUGGGAGGUGGCGUUUGAGAUGGUAGUGUGCAUACUUCUCUCCGACGACAACGGGUGUUUGCAUGUACGUGUAUAUAUGUAGGUGCUCGUGUGCGUGAGUCUGUGUGUGAGUCGGAGUGCAGUGGCGAUCUUUUUUUUUUAACACGUCGGGUUUUGUCUGUGUGUAGGUUAAGCGCUCUGAUAUUGCUGUGUGCGGACGUGUGUGAAAGGCAGC
rnacentral:misc_RNA from 1 species